AUUGGGCCCGACGUCGCAUGCUCCCGGCCGCCAUGGCGGCCGCGGGAAUUCGAUUAGAGUUUGAUCAUGGCUCAGAACGAACGCUGGCGGCAUGCCUAACACAUGCAAGUCAAACGAACCCUUCGGGGUUAGUGGCGCACGGGUGCGUAACGCGUGGGAAUCUGCCCUUGGCUUCGGAAUAACAGUUAGAAAUGACUGCUAAUACCGGAUGAUGUCUUCGGACCAAAGAUUUAUCGGCCAGGGAUGAGCCCGCGUAGGAUUAGGUAGUUGGUGGGGUAAAGGCCUACCAAGCCGACGAUCCUUAGCUGGUCUGAGAGGAUGAUCAGCCACACUGGGACUGAGACACGGCCCAGACUCCUACGGGAGGCAGCAGUGGGGAAUAUUGGACAAUGGGCGCAAGCCUGAUCCAGCAAUGCCGCGUGAGUGAUGAAGGCCUUAGGGUCGUAAAGCUCUUUUACCCGGGAUGAUAAUGACAGUACCGGGAGAAUAAGCUCCGGCUAACUCCGUGCCAGCAGCCGCGGUAAUACGAAUCACUAGUGAAUUCGCGGCCGCCUGCAGGUCGACCAUAUGGGAGAGCUCCCAA
rnacentral:rRNA from 1 species